rnacentral:rRNA from 1 species
AAUAAGCGGAGGAAAAGAAACCAACAGGGAUUGCCUUAGUAACGGCGAGUGAAGCGGCAAAAGCUCAAAUUUGAAAUCUAGCACUUUCAGUGUUCGAGUUGUAAUUUGAAGAAGGUAACUUUGGAAUUGGCUCUUGUCUAUGUUCCUUGGAACAGGACGUCACAGAGGGUGAGAAUCCCGUGCGAUGAGAUGUCCAAUUCUAUGUAAAGUGCUUUCGAAGAGUCGAGUUGUUUGGGAAUGCAGCUCUAAGUGGGUGGUAAAUUCCAUCUAAAGCUAAAUAUUGGCGAGAGACCGAUAGCGAACAAGUACAGUGAUGGAAAGAUGAAAAGAACUUUGAAAAGAGAGUGAAAAAGUACGUGAAAUUGUUGAAAGGGAAGGGCUUGAGAUCAGACUUGGUAUUUUGUGUUCCUUAUCCUUCUUGGAUUAGGUUCCUCACAGCUUACCGGGCCAGCAUCGGUUUGGGUGGCAGGAUAAUGACAUUGGAAUGUAGCUUUGCUUCGGUGAAGUGUUAUAGACUUUGUUGAUACUGCCUAUCUAGACCGAGGACUGCGUCUUUGACUAGGAUGCUGGC